CCGUGCCGCUAUGGAGCCACAGGUGCGGGUCGCUGGUACAUGCACCAGGGCCUGACAGAGGACAGAACCCCCCGACCUAACUGUUAUAUCGCCCAUCUCUAUAGCAUGGAAGUGUGCUAACUUAUCAGUGUUUGUAUUAUUUCAGAUUAUACACAUUAUGUAAUGUCAUGAAGUAGUGGAAUUUUACUGGAGACUUGGGUAUUGUUCAUGGUUAAGUCAAACAAAAGGACAGCCCGGGCCUGGAAACAAGGACUUUGCUUCUUGUAGGGUUAGAGUUAUCCAUGAAGGAUAAAGGAUAACCCUGAACAUCCAAGAUAACAUUAGCAUCCUAACCCUUCUGAUAUGUCUUUGAAACCUUCCCAGUAUCAUCUGGCAGUACAUAUAAUAAUUCCAGCAAGGCUGACUCCAGGGACAUCUGGACCAAUAGACAAGCAGCCAGAAUGCUGCAAAAAUAGAGCUACUUUUCAAAGUUCUACUCUGAUUAGUAACCAGUGGUGUGGCUAUUAGUGAUUAGUCACAUUGUGUUGGACCUGAACUUUUGAAGGGUAUGAGAACCCUGUGUGAAAUAUCAGCUGUGGUGCCCUAAUUUGGCUGCAACUCCUCGUGCUCAUGAGUAACUCUUCUAAGUCUAUACUUUGCAUCCUAGCUUCUUUCCUGGGUUAUUACAGGCCAGCUGCUGAUUUUUAUGACACAUCCUUGGUUUCAUGCAUGAAAGAAAGGACCUGCAUGAGCUGAGCAAGGCUGAGAGGUAGUGCAGGGGACAGGUGUCCCCCUCACCUCUGUGGGAGCACUGGAGGCCCCGCAUUUGUUUCACAAGGGAGACACUAGACAGAAUUAUAAAGUGCAGAGGCUGGCUUUGUCUUAAGCCACAAUGCUAAACCAUUGCUGAGCGAUGAGCAGGUUGCGGUGCUUGGUGGGAUUUUUUGAAGCAGGACCUGCAGAUGGGGAGAAGUGUCCAUGGCAGGAGCCAAGCUCUGUGUGAACAGAGAGGGGGGAGAUGGCAGCCAAUUUGCAGCACAUGCUGCUCGGUUAGUAAUAAAUGUAUUCCUGGGUGGGAUGUGCUGGACAUGAGUCCAAAACUAAUCCCCAUUUCUUUGCCAAGUAGGGGAGAGAGUCUGUAACUCUUGUCCCCUGUAAGCAGUCCUGUGCUUCCAGCACCCCUGUCUUGUCUGCUGGCAAGGGAGAGUACUUGCUUCACUGAGCUCCUUCUUAUGUCCUCUCCUCCCUGUCUCUUUACAGCCUGGAGCAGAGCCAGGGCAGACUGAUGCUGGGGGAGCAGGUCAGAGGGGAGCACUGGGAAAAGUGGGGCCUGCAGCAGCCAAGCAACCAGACCUGCUGGCAGCAUGACAGAGGAGCUGCAUGUAGGAAGAUAAGGGAGGGAGCAAUGGUCUAUCUGGAGAACUGAGAUUUCAAGCAUGGCUCCAAGCACAGAUGCACUGGCAGGUGAGGUGCAUGCUCCCUGCCGUUUAAACGUUGCUGUCCUCGUUUUUUUAAGUAAACUGUUCUUCUAAAUUAGGUUAAAGCAAUUCCAUGGUUGUUUUAAACUGCCCUAAAUGCAGGCCCCUCUUGGAAGGGAGUAAGUGGCAGUCCUGCUUGCCAUUCCUGUAGCAAGAGGGUGGUUCCUUUGUUGUAAGCUAAAUCAGGUCCAUGACCCAGAUGAAAACUAAUUCAAGAAAAACUGUAUCUGGAGUGUGUUCCUAAUAGACCUGGACACCCUUUUUGCUACUAUCCUAUCUUUUGGACAACCUCUGGGUGAUUUAUUCCUCUGGGGAAAUGCAGUGCAGGUCAGAGCACUUCUGCCCCGCCUCAGUUCAGGGGUCCUUGUCUUCCUCUUGGGCAGGCUCGGGUGCUUGCCAUAGGAAGCAAGUUGGCUCUGGCUGGGGACCCUUCUGAUAACCACAUGCUUUUCCUGCUUCUACCCCACUUACAUGGCUCACAAAUGGAUCAGACAAGCCCUGCUGCUAGUGCAAGAAAGGAUUUUAUGAGGGCAAAGGGAGAGUGUAACUGCACCAAUCAUGACUGACAUCAACUGAAGUGAUGGGCAUCUGGCUCCAUCCAUGAGCAUCACCUGGAGUUUACCAGCAGAAGGUCACUUUGGCUGCCAUGGGGCUCCCUCUCCAUCACUUUGCUUCUCCAUGUGAAAUGGCAACAUUUAUCUGCAGGACAGAAGUAAUGCUGAUGCUCAGGGAAGAGAGGUUUAGACAUACAUCAAGAACACUAAAUGCAGGGGUAAAUGUGACAAGACACAAGACUUGCAAUAGUGCUAGCCAAAAUAAUAUCACAAACUUCUUAGCACAAAGUUUGUUUUAAGCUAUCAGCAUCUAGUCGAUAAAUAAUGGCAUGUGAAGGUCCUACUAAAAUGUAAGUUUGUGUUUGUAUGAUUAUUGAGAAAAUGUUGAAGGCAGGAGUACAAAAAUUGACUACAAAAGUAUAAAGUGCCCAAAUACAUUUUAAAACUCUCUCAUGAGUUUUAACCCUUGAGAAAUCAAAGCUUUCCUAAAAACUUGAAUAGUACAUACUCAAAUAAAAGAAGUCUACCUGAGUAGAAUAAAAUCCACAAAGUCUUUCUUGGUUUUAGCAUCGCAGGUUCAUUUGUUUUCUUCUCUCAUUGUGUAGCUUCAUCAGAAAGCUCAAAUACUUGAAUCCAGCCACUCUUCUUGUCGUCACUGAGCUGUAACUGUAAGUCCUGACCUUGUAUGAAAUAUUGCAUUCCUUAGAAAGGUGAUCAUCCUCAAUUUGUGAGCAUGAUAGGAGUGGUUCUGAUAAAGAACAGUUCAAAAAAGUUAACUCAGUGUUUUAAAUUUGCUUUUGUGUUUUAAUGAACAAUUGAAUUUCUCAUGCUUCCCACCUGCUUCCACACCCACUCCCCCCCAACUCUUAUGAAUGUAAGUCUGCCUGUUUAAAACACAACAGAGGGUUUCUAAAGAUAUAGAAAAAGGAAACAAUGGUAGAGAAGGAUCUCAGGAAAUCUCAGGAACAAUGAGAAAUAUUAUCUGGUUUAGCAUAAGAAUCAGUGGGAAUUAAGAUAGUACUUUAAACAGUCUCACUUUUCCAUUUUAACAAGUGAAUUAUAAAUCAAUUCUUCCCACAGGCAUUGGUUGUAAAGAUAUGUGUGUGAGCAAUGCCUGUUAAGAAAAAGAGCAAAUUAAAAUUGCAGCAUAAUGGAUGCAACUCCAGUCCAACUGGAGGAUGGGCCUUUUUGAGGUGAUUGCUUGGAACACAGCUUCUGUAAAGUUUCACAGCUUCUGCAAAACAUGCUUACUCUUUGAGUCAGGCAGCAAAUAGCCUCCCCUUCUUGCUGUCCUAAAGCAAAAUGGAUAGUGUUAAAGGAACAUAUAUCAUGCUGGAUCCAACUGAAUACAAACUACUGCCAUGUAAUGCAAGGAGUAACUCAAAUAGCGACUCUGAAUGUGAGCAUUAAAUUUCUACUGAGAACAGCGAGCAUCAUGCCCUGAUAACCAAAAUCAGACAUUGGUCUUACUGUGUCUGCUUUUUAUGUAGGUGCACAGAGCUACAGCUCCCUUAGUUUCUCCAAAAAAGUCUUUGAACUGCUAAAAUUCCUCUCUCAUUUACAAAUUUGUCCAUGGUGAGAGCAAGGUGCUCAGCCUCUAGAAGGAAGAAGUUUAACAGCAAUGAAAUGUCAUUGCUUUAGUGCUGUCUUCGCUGCUUAUAAAUUACCUCUUGCCUGGGAUAUUGUUGGUAGUGAAAUCUCUCCUUUGCAGCAGUUAUUUAAUGUUGCUCUCUCUUACGGCCAUUUUCAGUUCAAACAUCUUGCCUACUACCAUCCAUCUUCUGCCUCCACCCACUGUCAAGGCAUCUGUUUGCCCUCUGGUUAGUCAAAAUGUCUUCCCCAAUCCCCGUGCAAAAUUAAACCCCAGGCAGGAAAAACACCACUAGGAAUUCCCUAGAUUCUCCAAGGGCUGUUAGUACAAGUCAAACAUUCCUCCUAUAAAAUGAGUGAAUGAAUAAAAAUGCUCUUUUUGACUCUGCCUAACAACUGCACUGGACUUGGUAGGAACUACUUGCCAAAAUCUACAGGACAGAGAAAAGGAAGAUUUUUUUUCCCUCCUCCCUCCUACAUUCCUGGCUAACGCUUUUAAAAUCCAAGUGAUGUUGUUCCAUGCACAUGAAAACAGAGACGUUUUAUGCAGAAACUUUCACAAGGUCAUUUUAAAAGAGGCCACAGGAAGAGAAGUACAGUGUGUUCUUCCCCACAGAAGAUGUGUGUGCCUCUGAUCCUGACUCCGCAAGAGUCAGAGCUUUGGUCCAGGCCUGGUUUAUUGCCUUGCACAUUUAUGUGCCAAAGCUCUGCCAUAGUCCUGGGGAACAUGGGAUGAAAUGUUUGUAGCUCCUGAGUGACUUCUCAGUGAUGGCUUCGGUGCAAGCCUGAUCUCAUUUCUGUUCCUUAAAACUGCAGCUUGAAAUCCUGGAUUUCUUUAUGCACCAAAUGACAGAUGACCCUGGAGCCUGCACACAGCCAUCAGCUCUGCCAGGCUUAAUGUGAAGGAAAGAAGAUGAUCACUGAUGUAUAUUGAUGGGAGCCUUUAGGAAUCCAGGGCUUUUUGCUCAAUCUUUGUGCUGAAGUGCUCAGUCUUACACAGCAAAGACAAACAGCAACAAGAUUGCUCUCAGCAACCCAGACAAGAACAUUUUAGUGCAUAAUUAUGGAUGAGAUGCAAAAGGACGAAAAAGAGGGAAAACAUCUGUUCGCAUAGAGUUUAUUGCCGUUCACUUAAGAGGCCCAUUAAAUGCUAGAAAAAGCUAUUUAUCCUUCUGUUUGAGGCAAUUAUCCUACUGCAAAUCUCUGUGGAAAUUUGCCCUGUGUUUAUUCUUGGAGUGCUGACACUGUGCAGAUACACUCGCCACACAGAAAAAAGGCGCAGACCUUGCCCACCAAGGCUUAUGGAGGGAUUUUCAGAAGCAGGGUAGCCAGUGCUUUCAGCUGCCUCAGCCCCUUUAUUUCAAAAAUCAAAAGGAGCUUUUUCAUUAGAAGCGCACCCAAAAGCGGGAUUGCUCUUCUUGUAGCCAGUGUCACAGCAAUACAGGGGUGUGAGAAGACCAAAUACAGUUCUUUGAAUGUUUAAAGGAAACCAGCUGUCCUACCGAUCAGGAAAUCAUUUGACUCACCAGGCUGCAAGGUCCAUGCAGAGGAGAGGCUUCAUCUCCUUGAAGCCCAACCAUGCACUCGUUUGGCGAAGAGGAAAGCAAGUGCGACUGUGUUGGUUAAUCCCUCCCCCCUCUCCUCUGGCCUGCUCAGGCCUUUGCAUAAGAGCUUGGCAGUGAAGCAUCUCUUGACCAUACCAGGAACUCUUGGAAAGCUAAGGUGGGGGCAGCACUGACUGUACCAGGAACUCCUGCUGCCUGACCAGGGUGGGAGAUAACAGCAGGAAUAAUCAAUCACCCCCUGACAGCCUUGGAACAUCUCUUAUCUGAGUUGUAGCUCAAGUGGAACAGUACCAUCCUCACUGGAAUUUCAAAAACUCCAGUAAUCACUAACCCAGAUUGCAGCCAGGAUGAAAAUUUACCAAUGACUUAAGCCAAUCUUCAACCAAAGGGUCCUAAGACAGACCCUUUGAGCUCUUCUGGACUGUAGUGGACUGCAUCAGUAUUUCCCUCUGUGUGGGAUGCCUCUGAGAGUGCCUGAACUCUCAAGCUUGUGAAAUUCGGAGAAGUGUCGCCUGGCAACAGAACCUGGGCUGAUAUCCCCACUACUUGAGGCUCAACACUCCCCCCUCUGCACACCCAUUGAGAAAUGCCAAAAAGGCAUUAGACAUGAGCAUUUCACUGACUCUUGAGGGGAAUUUUUUAAUAGGUAUACCUUUGUACUUCUACAUUACAUAUCCGUGUUUGCGUGUUACCUUUGUACAUUUGUAUAUACAUAUCUGUGUGUGUGUACUGACUUGAACACCCUGUAACAAAUAUAGUAUACAUGUUAUUAUCUUGAAUCCCUAACUGUUAUUAUUGUUAUGUUCAUAGUUGAUAAUUGUUUAAUCUAGCUUUUUAAUGCUGUUAUGAUUAAGUGCUGCUAAACCCUGUAGAUAUAAACCAUUGACUAAGUCUGAGCCCAAGGCUGGUUUCAGCCACAUCUACACUCUUCUCUGAGAAGGAGUUUGGAGAGCAAGGGGAUCUACUCUGACUCUUGUGAGUCAAUGAAGGGUCUCCCUUACCCCUUUUUACAUCCCUGGCCUCCAUAUAAAUCACUCUAAAUUGAUUCUAAUUCAAUUUACUUUUAUAUGUAUUAUCCAUGCACUUAGUAGUAGAGUGAGCCUUGCCAUCGAACUUUGUCUCACUUUUGCAAAUUUAUAUUGAAGCUUGUUUUGUAUCUUUGAUGGUGAUUUUUUAAGUGACCUAAACCACUCAUUUUUGCAACAGCAAGGCUCCCUUCAUGGGUCUAGUGCAUUCUUGUGAGGGAAAGGUUGUUUUUCAGACCUCCACUUUAGCCAAAAUACUGACUGGAGGUUCGCAUGCAGGUGUGUCAGAAACACCAACAGCUGGCUUGGCUGCUUAAUUAUCUGAUGAUGCAGAAAAUAAACAAGCCUCCGCUUCUCUGGCUCAUAAAUAUAAGGAAAGGCUAAUAAAAGGCUUAGAUACUAGCUGGUUGACCAGGACUGUGCAGAAAUUGGAUAAAAAGGCAGGAGAUGUGACAAUGACAGGAGCACAGCAUGUGAUGGACAUAGUGAACAUAGCGCACGGCUCUUACAGUGUGAGAAUUAUGUUGUCCCCAUGGUAGGUAAUGGACAUGAACAGGAACAGAGGAAAGUGAUGUGGGACAGUGCUCUCCUAGUGCUGCUGUCAGUGGUGUGAGACAGUCUCAAAGGAUAAAAAUAAAACACGGGAAAAAUAUUCCCUUGAAACUUCUUUUACUUUUGGAAAUACCAUUUCUAUGAAGUCGUUCACUUUCAGAAAAGUUUCAUCCCCCUUUCUUUUCACCCCAGCUUUUCACUCCUUUUUUUCAUAAGGCUGAGUUUUGACUCAUGUCUGCUUCUUCUCCAAAAUAUGUGAUUUUUACUUCUCAUUGAGAAAACUAGACCUGGGGGGGAAAUACCCAGAAAGAAAACAGUCCAUUUCAGAUCUUGAACCAAUGACAGUUUCUAAUAUCUGAGCACCCAGAGUGUUGUGUGGGCUUGCCAGGAGCCAGGCCAGGCAGUGGGCACAUGGGCCAGGCUGCAGCCCCACAGGGACCCCACCAUUAGAUGUCCAGCCCAGGCACAGCUUAUGAGGCUGGGGGACCACAAGUCCCCACACCAGGAGGAACCAAGGACACUUAGCUACCCAACACAGUUGUUUCCCUGCCAGACUUUUGAUGGGGGAAAAGCUCUGGGACUUGCUGCUAUAGCAGCAGCUUUAUCUAGGAUUAUGAUUCCUUACUUUCUCUUAACAGCUUCUGGUAUGCUGCUACUUUCACUUUUCUAUUUUCUUAAUGUACUUUUUAAAGCAUUCUCCAUGAGUAACUGAUUCAUAAUAAUUUUUUAAGCUCUAUUGCAGCACCCAUAUCCUCCUAGCCUUGUGGGAGCCUGACAGGCACCCAGAUUUCCACUGAAUUCAGCGUCACUGCAUUUGUUCUUUGAGAUGCAGUGUGCAGGGUUUCUUUCAGCAACUGCUUGAUCCAACAUCUCCCUCUGGUGGAAAACAGGGAAUAAAGCAGGAUAAAAUAGAGCAUCGUACAGCAUAGCAUACUUACUUGAAUGCCAUGAAAACAAUAAAAAUCUCAGUCCAGGCCAUGAUGUUCUCUCUAAAUGCUACAUUUAUUCCUAAUGAAUUUGAAUGUUAUCUCAAAUAGUCCUCGUCUGGAAAAGAAUGAUAAUGAAUGGCGAAUGCUAAUUUUCAUGUAUUUUCCAGAAAUUUGGCAAAAUUUUAAACAGAGGCAAAAGCCACUCUCAAAACAAUAUGUCCUUAUGGCAUUGUGUCUGUGAAGAAAAUCAACACAAUUCUCUGUUGCAGAAAACUAUUCUUUGUGCUCAAGCUCCAAAAUCCAUCAUACAUCUAACCUGCUGUCUGCAAUCGCAAGGAAUGAUAAAAAUGUCUCAAGGUAUAACUGUUCUCUUUCUAUACCGUAAUUACACCUUUGAAGUUCCAUGUGAGUGUGACAAACUGGUUGCCAUCUGCCAGGGGUGCCUAUUCAAUGUAGAUCAGAAAGUACAAAGAAGGAAAUACUUAAGUACAGUCUGGAUAACUUUUGUCUGGACAUGCAUAGGAUUAAGGAAUAGUACAGGGAUAAAAUGCUUUGCACAGGUCACAGCUAUGUCUUUCUUUGAAGGCACCUUUCAUCAGCAUGGGAGGUUAGGGCGGUUUAAUGAACCUUCUGCUGUUAAUCCUCUCCCACCUGCAAGUGUUUCCCUGAGACUUGUUCUGUGAUUCCAGAUGGGAACUGCAGAGCUGAUGCAGCAGCACAGACAGAUUUAAGAUCAAAAUGGAAUUUUUAAAAUUUUUAAGUUGCUGGCUCAGCUUCAGCUGGAGCUGGAGAGGUACUAGAGGCCACAUCUUUGCUUCAGCUCCAUGCAAGAGUCUUGGGUGAGGAAGAGAAACUCAGGAACAGAUGAUGAGUUAUUGCCAGAGAUAGACACCAGAGGGUAGGCAGCUGAACCAAGAGAGGAUGGACUCGUCUCAACAAAUUUUAGCUGCCUAAAGCCUAGAAGCAGUCAGUAUCGGUGAUCUGGCUUGCAGGCACUUGAACAGUGUGACUCCCCUUUGUGGGCAAGUCUAUAGUCAGCACAGGGCAGCAUCACUAUAUAUCUAGGAUAUAUUUUAGACUAUUUAAAUUUUCCACGCCCAGAAAGAAAAAUAGGGGAGGGAUUUGCAGUUAUUCCCAAAAUAUUAGGACAUAUUCAUAUCUGAAAAUUGAAAGCAACUUGUAAGCUUCUGGAACAAAAAGCUGAGGUUCCUGAGUAGAGUGCUCAGUCUUUGUAUGGCAUGACCUUAGCCAGGGCGAAAACCGCUGUGAGAAGGAGUAAGAUUUAAAAAGGAAUUUCAAGUUAGAGACUGGGGAAGUGAGGAGGAAGGGAGGAACAUGGUUCUUGAUGGCAUAUCUUUAAAGGUGCCAUUUUGACCUCUUUAUAACCACAAGUAAGCAGGAAACAGCAAGGCACAAUCUGGACAAAUAAAGCCCCUUUUAAUGGGGCACAGGAACUGGAGCAAUUGGCCUGAAUAUAUGCUUUUUUCUAUUUGCUAUAAUCAUGAAAAUAAGAUAUGAGUCUAAAAUCCUCAAUUUUUAUAUAACGAUAUUGAAAUAUCAGAGAAAUCCCAGAAGAAAGAUAAUUACUGGGUCAUUGUAAUAGCAUGGUAAAAAUUACAUGGGAAAGAACCAAAAUAGAUCCCAUCCAAAUGAGGAAAAGGACAUGAACUCUGUCAAAUUAUAAGCAGAUACAGAAAGGCAGAUUAAAAAAGAUUCUCAGGAAAUAACUUGCUACUAGACAAAAAGCCUUCUCUAUCCUAGCAGGAGCAAGGAACCUGCUGGAGAGUUCUGCAGGUGCCCAGGGUGUGCAGUCAGCAGACGAUUAGGAUGGCAAAGGAGUUUGAGAGCAAAUAAGCCCUAACACAACAGCUAAACAGAUUACUUGUGUCUGGCUUCAGCAUAGAAAUGCUUAGUGAAAUUCCCACAGCAGAACCACUUGUUAAAGGGAUAAUGCAGAGAAGCUGCCACAGAUUGAAGGACCAUUAGAUGAGGCUUUAGAACAAAUUGAUGCAAGGGAUAGUAACAAGUUCAUGAGAAGCAGAUGUUACUCGCUUGUGGGUUUUUAAGGCAUGCUAAUGCAAACUCUUGCACUAUAAAAGCUGGUGUAUAAGCUUUUACUUAAAACAGCCAAAGAAAAAAGAGGAUGGCACAUGAUACACUUUUCUUUUAGUGCUGUGAGGGAUCUAGAGAACUGCAAACCACUAUAUCUGACAUCUGUAGCAGGCAAACAGCAAAAGCCAUAGUAAUAGAAUAGUUGCAAGGACAGACACAGGCUAAGAGGGAAGAACUGGCAGCGAGGACCUACGAAGCUGUGCUCCAACACCCUCUUACAUCUUCAGAGGAUACAGUGAAGCUGCAGAAUAGAGCAAUCUGCUUGGUAUGAUCUGCUCAGCUUCUGGAAAGCCUUUAAUAACAUCUGUCACCCAUAAAGAUGCUAAUCUGGCAUGGAGUAAGAGGGAAGAUUCUCUCAUGAGUCAGCAACUGCAUACAGGAUAGAGACAAGGUAAGGAUAAAUCAUUCAUUCUUCACAGUGGAGAGAAGUCACCAAUGGCAUCUUAGAGGGAUACUGGUAGGGCCAGUGCUCAUCCACAGACCCAUCAGUCAGGCAGUAAAAGGCUCAAUAAUUAAACUGGUGGUACAAGUCUAUUUAAGAUAGGAAAAUGCAAACUUGCCUGCAAGGAUCUGCAAAAACCAUCUCAUAAAUCCAGGCUAAGUAACAGCAGGUGAAAUUCAGUGUGGCUAACAGCAGAGAAAAACACCUUGCUGAGUUGGGAGGAAGACCUCCUUACUAUCCAGCCAAUGGCCUAUGAAACAUCUAGUACCACGCAGGACAGAUACCUUCAAGCUAGGUUGUCAGUUAAAUGCUUACUAGUGACUAUAAAGCAUUUUAGUAUAUUAUGAAGGGAAGAGAGGUCACAGAGUCAUAGAAUGGUUUGGGUUGGAAGGAACCUUAAAGAUCAUCUAGUUCCAAUCCCCCUGCCAUAGGCAGGGUCACCUUCCACUAGACCAGGUUGCUUAAAGCCCCAUUCAACCUGGCCUUGGACACUUCCAGGGAUAAGGUACUCAUAAUGUCUCUGGGCAACCUGUUCCAGUGUCUCAUCACCCUCAGAGUGAAGAAUUUCUUCCUAAUACCUAAUCUAAAUCCAUUCUCUUUCAGUUUAAAGCCAUUCCCCCUUGUCCUGUCAUUGCAUGCCCUUGUAAAAAGUCCCUCUCCAGCCUUCUUGCAACCCUCUUUAUGUAUUGGAAGGCCGCAAUAAGGUCUUCUCGGAGCCUUCUCUUCUCCAGGCUGAACAAUCCCAGCUGCCUCAGCCUGUCUCCACUGGAGAGAUGCUCCAGCCCCCUAAUCAUCUUCAUGGCCAUCCUCUGGACUUGCUCCAGCAGGUCCACGUCCUUAUGUUGGGGGCCUCAGAGCUAUAUGCAGCACUCCAAGUGGGCUCUCACAAGAGUGGAGGAGAGGGGCAGAAUCCCCUCCUUCAAGCUACUGGCCACAAUUCUUUGAUGUAGAUGAGGAUAUGGUUGGCUUUCUGGGCUGCAAGCACAUAUUGAUGAGCCAUGUGAGCUACUCCUCAACCAACACCUCCAAGUCCUCCUCAGAGCUGCUCUCAAUCCAUUCAUCCCUCAGCCUGUAUUUAUGCUUGGGAUUGCUCCAAUCCAGGUGCAGCACCUUGCACUUGGCCUCGUUAAACUUCAUGAGGUUUGCACAGUCCCACCUCUCCAGCCUGUCCAGGUCCCUCUGGAUGGCAUCCCUUCCCUCCAGCAUGUCAACCUCACCACACAGCUUGGUGUCAUUGGCAGACUUGCUGAGGGUGCACUGUCCAUGUUGCUGACAAAGAUGUCUAACAGCACCAGCCCCCACUACUGACCCCUGAGAGGCAUCUUCACUUGGGACACCAUCCCCUCCUUGUUGAGAACAAGGUCCAUCAUACCACCUCUCCUUGUUGGCUGCUCUAUCGCUUAGAGAAGGAAGUUGUCAUCAGUGUAUUCCAAGAACCUCCUGGAUUGCUUAUGUCCUGCUGUGCUGUCCCUCCAACGAACAUGGGGGAGGUUGAAGUCCCCCAUGAGGACCAGGGUUCGUGAACAUGAUGCUGCUUCUAUCAGUUUAUAAAGGGCCCCAACCUCUUGGUCUUCUUGGUCAGGUGUCACAAAUAAAAGUGACCUGUAGCAGAUCCCCAGUAUAAUGUCACCUGUCCCUGCCCUACCUGUGAUCCUGACCCACAGUCUCCUGGUCAGAUCUUGACCCAUCCCCAGGUGAAGCUCCCUGCAUUCCAGCUAGUCAUUGACAUACAGGGCAACAGACCCUCCUGCCUGUCCUCCCUGCCUGUCCUUCUUAAAGAGCUUGUAUCCUAAUUGAUGUAAUUAAUUAAAUACAUAGUUCAUCCCCUAUCAUCAGUACGGUGUGCAGUUCUGGUCCCUCAAUCUCCAAAAAGGUAUGUUAGAGUCAGAAAAGAUAUAAAGAGGGGCAGCAAGGAUGACCAAAGAUAUAGGAUGAUUUUAUGUGGUUAGCAGCUAUUAUGUAAUUAUGUAUCCUGUAAACCAAGAUUCUUCAAAGUGGAAGAGUCCAAGAGGGAGUGUGGUAGAGCUUUAUAAAAUCAAGAAGGAUCAUGGAGAAUAACUAGUCACCACCCCUCAUACGAUGCAAGAAAGGGGCAUCAAAAGAUGUUUUCAGGUUCAAGACAAAGACAAGGAGCUCUGCUCCUGGGCAAAGAAGUGUGUCUCUUUACAGAACCUGUUUUCACAAGAUGUUGGGGAUUACAGAAGCACCACACAUGGCUUUAGAAGCAAGACAACAAAUGUGUGGAAGAUGAAUCAUCUAAAGCAUGAAGCUACUUCUCAGCUGAGGAAGACCCUAGGCUAGAAGUGGCCGUCCCCUCUGAUGGCCAUGACCAGAGCUAGGACACCAGACUGAGGGGUGCAGCUGAAACCAUUCUGACAUUUUUAUCAACUGGACAACUUUUAGAAGUAAAUUGGAAGAAACCCCAUGGGCCUCCAGAGCAUAAGUGCACAACCACAGCUUUAGUUUCUCAUGGGGCUAUAAUCACCCUAUUAGUAUCAGUAGUGUUUCUUGCUCCAGGAUAAGCUACACUGUUUGCUAUUUUUUAAGAUUAAAAUAAAGAUUUAAGAAAAAAAAUA